rnacentral:rRNA from 1 species
UGCUAUUCUUAACGGGAUGGCUUUUCUUNAGUGUAAANAGCUUUUGGAAUAAGAGCUGGGCAAGACCGGUGCCAGCCGCCGCGGUAACACCGGCAGCUCUAGUGGUAGCUGUUUUUAUUGGGCCUAAAGCGUUCGUAGCCGGUUUGAUAAGUCUCUGGUGAAAUCCUGUAGCUUAACUGUGGGAAUUGCUGGNGAUACUGUUNAACUUGANNNCGGGAGAGGUUAGNGGUACUCCCAGGGNAGAGGUGAAAUUCUGUAAUCCUGGGAGGACCNCCUGUGGCGAAGGCGGCUAACUGGAACGAACC